CUUACUGAGAUCCUAAUUCCUCAGCUCAUCCUAGAACCCACCCAGUAUACUAAAGUCACAGCUUAUCUGGCCUCUAUAUCACCCUGUGCCCUUCCUGGGAUCCUAAAUCCUCAGCUUAUCCUAGAGCCUCCACCGUAUCCUAAAUACACAGCUUAUCUGCCCUCUAGCUCAUUCUGGGCCCUUCCUGGGAUCCUAAAUUCUCAGCUUAUCCUAGAGCCUCC